rnacentral:lncRNA from 1 species
GCGCUGGUUGUCGCCCUCGCACCACUUCCAGAGCACGACCUCGGUGCCGUCGUGGACGCCGCCGUGGGCCUUGUCGCCGUGGAAGGCGUCGAAGUUGAGGUAGAUGUUGUUCACCAUGCGGACGCAGCGGAAGCCCUUGCCCACGUCGCGGCUCUCCGUCCACAGCACCGACUCGUCCUGGUACGCCGGGUUGUACGGCACCAGCUUCACCUGCACACGCACCAUCAAUUACAGAUCUUGGUGAGAACUGCUGCCAGAUGCUUCUCUGCUCAAAUCAUGCACAAUAUUUGUGUGUGUGUGUGUGGGUGGGUGCUUACGGGGUGGCCCUGGCCGGUGGAGUGCUUGAUGCAUUCGCCGGUGACCUUGUUCACCAGCGCAAACGCAGGGUACCCUUCCUCGUCCCUGAUCUUGUUGCUGUGCCUCAUGUCCUUGAUCCAGUGCUGCACAAAGAUCCGGUAAUUUCAGUUUCAUUCACAGAUCGCCGCACGGCACGACAGGUAAAAAGAAAGGACUCUGUUUAAUUUGGUCAAGUAGCAGCAGCAGAAUUGACCUGGUAGUCGUCCCUGGGGUUGGUGGGGGCGAGGCAGACGGUGCCGUUGCGGGCGGUGAGGCUGUAGUCCUCGCCGGCCUUGCAGAAGACGCGCACGGCAUGCACGGGGGGGCCGCCGCCCAUGGCGUGGGCGUUGUUGCCCAUGGUGGCGCCGGACUCGACGGCGGCGUGCGCCUCGGCCCAGGGCCAGAUCUUCCAGCACUGGUUGUCCCCCUUGCACCACUCCCAGAGCACGACGGUGGUGCCGUCGUGCACGCCGCCGUGGUCCUUGUCGCCGUUGAGGGCGUCGAAGUUGAGGCGGGUGUUGUUGACCAUGCGGAUGCAGCGGAAGCCCUUGCCCACGUCCUUGCUCUCCGUCCACAGCACCGACGCGUCCUCGUACGCCGGGUUGAACGGCACCAGCUUCACCUGCAACGCAUCCGUGGAUGUCAAGAACUCAAGAUCAAUCGAAGCGAAGAAGGCGAAGACGGACGAUCUGAUUCUGACGGAGCGAACGGACGGGAAGACUUACGGGGUGGGACUGGCCGAUGGAGUGCUUGACGGCGAGGCCGGUGGCCUUGUUGACGAGCGCGAAGGCCGGCAUGCCCUCCUCGUCCUUGACGGUGGUGCUGAAGCGCAUGUCCUUGAGCCAGUGCUGGGUCUCGUCCUUGGGGUUGACGGGGGCGAGCACCACCUCGCCGUCGCGGACGGCGAGGCAGUAGUCCUCCGAGGCCCGGCAGUAGAUCUUGAAGAUCUGGUUGGGGCCCGACGCCGCCGGCGCCUGGUCCUUGUGGUGGUGCCCGAACCCGAACAUCUUGGCGGCGAGGAGAGCGUGUGUGAUCGGCUCUGUUGGUUGGGACCUCGGAGCUGUGCGAGUGAGGAGAGAGCGCUGCCCCAUGGCCCCGUUAUAUAGAGCGGGGAGCAGAGCAAACCAGGAGCAUAUCUCCACUCACGCGCUGUAAAAUCUUGAAAAUCUUUGGAGCAUAUCUCUCCAGCGGCCUGGAAUAAAUGGUAAAUAGUAAGUGACGGAUACGAUCGCUCGAUCGCUGCCAGUACAGCACUAGCACUAGCCGUUUGGCGUGAAUGUGCUACCGGAAGAUUUUGGUUCGGUUAGCAGGAUUUUGGCUCGAUUGACAGCAGUAGCCGGUUGCUGCCAGUACCAAAGUUUAGCUGUAUGCAUGCAAAUAUAUGCAAUGGCCAAAAAUGCCAGCAGCAUACUGUAUAAAUUGUUGUGUUGGUUUGGUGGAGUACAGUUAAUGUAUUUUGUAUUUUGCACUCCAUCCGUUGGCUCAUACUAGCAGUGUCUUCUUCUGGUAGGAGUACAUCCUUAGCGGCUAAGUAUCCUGGUAAUUAAAGACUAAAUAUUUUUCUCUGCUCUUGGAUUAUAUUUGGUCCUGCAGCAGUACUAGUGUCAAAUUUCAGCUGACACUUGGCACUGAUUCGCAGCAUAGCCGUUUGGUGGGAACGUACUGGAAGGUUCUGGCUCGAUUUACCUACUACUCCAGUGUUUUCUUCGGCAUUAACUUUGCAUUAGCUGUAUGCAUGCAAAUACACAAUGGCCAGCGUAUUAUGGAUUAGUGGAGUAGAGCUAAUGUUUUUGUAAUGGGCCGACGCAAACGGUAGCGAAUUUGGCCAUUUUUUGUCCGUUUGGGUCGGCAGGCACGAAGAUGCCCGGUUCUGUCCGAUGGGCCGUAGGUGCACCUAAUGUGGCCGACCCAUUUUAAAGUUGCGUAUUUUAAAAAUACUAAUCCAAAUAAAACGUUAGAAAUAUAAACUUAAUAGUUAAAACACCGCCAAAGUCCACUUACAUUAAACUAGCAUGCACCUCCUGCACCCCCACACCCCCCCCCCCGGCCCUCCAGCUGCUUGGCCGCCUCCACCGCCUGCUCCACCUGGCGUUCGGCCGCCAAAGCCUGCAUCUCGGCGUCAUACGAGUGUUGCCGCGCCUCCUAACCGGUCACGCCCACCUAUAUGGGUGUGCAUGACACGUAGAGAGGCAAGGUGCUCGUCCACGACCAUGUUUGAAGUGGCUUUGGAGCGGGCGGCGCGUUGGGCUCCACCCUGGCCGCAUAUUCGGCCAUAGUGAUAGCAAGGCCAAGCCAACGCGCCAUCUCCUCGCACUCGGAUUCCUCGAGCGCCCGCCUAGUCGCCUCCUCUAGGGCCGCGAGGUACGCAGCCUCCUCCUGGUCCUCCUCCUUGACCAUCCCCGGCGAUGGUGGAGCGCGGGCCUCCAUCGUGAAGCUCCCAUGGCGGCGUACAUGGUGCUCCGUGGAGAACCACACGUCCCCCAUCGCCGAGUCUAGCGUGUAGUCCGGGUCACUGCGGAACGCGGGCGGGAGGGCAACACAGCGGUUGCAGAUCUCGGCUGCACGUGCGCGUUCGGACUGCGGCACCGGAACCCUGUCAGGGUUGAGGUGCCAGCCAUGCGGGAGGUUGACGUCUGACCACGGCAGAGGCACACUGUGCUCCCAAUGGUAGAGCGCCCGGUGCACAAGGGUGUACAGUCGGUUGCAUUCGCGUGUAGGCCCCCUGGAGGGGGUCUGCGACGUCAAAAUGAAGUGGGCCGAGCGUGCACGACGAGCCGGCCUCGUGGUCAUGCUUGCCACGCUUACUGAAGAAGCCCAUGGCGACGGCUCGUGUACACCGGCAGGGGAGCAAGCUAGAUGUGGACUGGUGGGGAUGGAAGUGGAUGAGGUGGCCCCCCACUGCACGCUUGUCAUUUAAAAUGGACGGGUGUGGGUGCUUCCUGUGGUUGACAUGCGGGCCCGAACGUGCGAGUGGUAUUUACUAGGAACCGGAGGUGAUGGUUCAGCGGCCGACACGCGGGCCCGAGGCGGACACAUAGCGGACUCACAACACGUCCGCCUCGUGUCCGUGUGGAUGCAAAUCAAACCUAAAUUUGGGUCCAAAAUGCGUCCAGACGGGCACCGAGCGGACGCAAUUUGGGAAUGCGUCAGCGUGUUUGGCCAUGUUUUCUGUCCCCGCGGACCCAAAUAGACGUGGCCGGACAAAAUUUGUCGGCGCGUUGGAGUUAGCCUUACACAACUACAGAAGCAAGCUCAGGUCUGUCAUCUGUCUUCCACUUCGUCUCUCCUCCCUAGGGAAAAGGAUGUCUAGGAUUCUUGCCUCCUCUCGGCGUUGCCGUCCGCCUACCACAUCUCAUGUGGCCUUAGGGCCAUGGGGCGCGAUAGAUCCUGGUCACUGCCGGCGGGAGGACUCCGUUUUUAGGCAUUUCUUUGAAUUUUUUUAGGGUUUGUGGCCUGCUCAGGCAAGAUGGUGGUGGUUCUGUAAAGAUGAAAUAAGGUUCUCCCCACCUAGCCCCCAUCCCGGUAGUGCAUCUAGCAUCGUCGGAGGGCGUGUGGAGGUGUGUCUUCGGUGGAUGAAUAAAACCAACGGGAUUCGGUUGGUGGUUGUCUUUGGUGGAUCUGUUUGGAUCUGGUCUUUGUUCGUCUAUGUUCGUGUGCCUUUUGGUUGCAUCCUUCCGAUCUACACUUCUCUUUAUCUGCGGCGGUUGCUAUUCUAGUGCAUUGGUCGAAUGGAGUCUUAGUACGACGAUUUUUUGACUCUCUACUACAACAAGUUUUGCUCGGCUCCAACACGGGAGGGGCAAUGACGGCGACAUGCAUUCGCUUGCUUCAGCGCUUGUAGUCGUCGUUAAGUCAUCUACGGAUUCAUAUGUAUUUUUAUUGUUGCUGAUGUUUGUUGUAUUACCACGAUUGAAGAUGAAUAGAUAGAAAGUUUCCUGAAAAAAUCCAUUUAAUUAAAGACUAAAUAUGUUGAUGUAUUUUAAGUUAUUUUGGCCAUUUAGAGCAUCUAUAGUCGGGCGCCUCAAACCCCCUCAUACGCCUGGGCAGACAGUCGGCUCACUGACCAGUUAAAAAAGCCUGACGUAGACAGGCGCCUCAAAUCAGCCUCAAACGCUCGGGCUGAUCGGCGCCUCUCAUAUGUAGCACAAAUAUCGGGCGGAUAUGGCGUGGCCCUGAUACGCCUCCAACGUAUCUAUAAUUUUUGAUUGUUUCAUGCUGUUAUAUUAUCAUUCUUGGAUGUUUUAUAAUCAUUUUAUAGUCAUUUUACAUCAUUUUUUGGUACUAACCUAUUGACAUAGUGCCAAGUGCUAGUUGAUGUUUUCUGCAUGUUUUUUACAUCGCAGGAAAUCAAUACCAAACGGAGUCCAAACGCAACGAAACUUUUUGGAGAUUUUUUUUGGACCAGAAGACAUCCAGUGGGCCGAAGAAGCGUCUGGGGGCUGCUUCGAGGGGAGCACAACCCACCAGGGCGUGCCAGGAGUCCCAGGCGCGCCCUGGUGGGUUGUGCCCACCUCGGGUGCCCCCUGAACCGACUCUUUGCUCUAUAAAUACCCCAAUAUUUCAGAAACCCUAGGGGAGUCGACGAAAAUUAAUUCCAGCCGCUGCAGAGUCGAGAACCACCAGAUCCAAUCUAGACACCAUCACGGAGGGGUUCACCACUUUCAUUGUUGCCUCUCUGAUGUUGCGUGAGUAGUUCUUUGUAGACCUUCGGGUCCGUAGUUAGUAGCUAGAUGGCUUUCUCUCUCUCGUUUGAUUCUCAAACAAUGGUCUCUUGGAGAUCCAUAUGAUGUAACUCUUUUUUACGGUAUGUUUGUUGGGAUCUGAUGAACUUUGAGUUUAUGAUCAGUUAUAUUUUUUUAUUCAUGAAAGUUAUUUGAGUCUUCUUUGAUCUCUUAUAUGUAUGAUUGCUUAUAGCCUCGUAUUUUUUCUCCGAUAUUUGGGUUUUGUUUGGCCAACUUGAUCUAUUUAUCUUGCAAUGGGAAGAGGUGCUUUGUAGUGGGUUCGAUCUUACGCUGCUUGAUCCCAGUCACAGAAGGGGAACCGACACGUAUGUAUCGUUGCUACUAAGGAUAAAAUGAUGGGGUCUAUUUCUACAUAAAUAGAUCUUGUCUACAUCAUGCCAUUGUUCUUAUUGCAUUACUCCGUUUAUCCAUGAACUUAAUACAUUAGAUGCAUGCUGAAUAGCGGUCGAUGUGUGGAGUAAUAGUAGUAGAUGCAGGCAGGAGUCGGUCUACUAAUCUUGGACGUGAUGCCUAUAUAAUGAUCAUUGCCUGGAUAUCGUCAUGAUUAUUUGAAGUUCUAUCAAUUGCCCAACAGUAAUUUGUUCACCCACCGUUUGCUAUUGACUCGAGAGAAGCCACUAGUGAAACCUAUGGCCCCCGGGUCUCUUUCUCAUAUUAUUUGCCUUUGCGGUCUAUUUUAUUUGUCUUUUAUUUUCAGAUCUAUUAAACCAAAAAUACAAAAAUACCUUGCUGCAAUUUAUUUUAUUUGCCGUUCGAUCUAUCAAUCUAUUACAACUUUCUCCCGUCCACGUGCCAAUUUCUGGUGCGGUGAAAGGGAUUGACAACCCCUUUAACACGUCGGGUUGCGAGUAUUUGUUAUUUGUGUGCAGGUGUUGUUGACGUUGUGUUGCUUGGUUCUCCUACUGGUUCGAUAACCUUGGUUUCAUCAUUAAGGGAAAUACCUACCGCUGCUGUGCUGCAUCAUCCCUUUCUCUUUGGGGAAAUGCCGACGUAGUCCUAGCAGACAUCAGGCCCGGACCCAACCCCAUAUAUAUUCGUCCCCAUUCACUCCCCAGACCGAACCCUAGCCACUCUAUUUGACUCCCCUUUACUCCACACUGUCAGCCAAGCUCCCGUACGGCAAUCUCCAGCCUUCUCCGGCUUGACAGACAGCGGAUCCGAGUCCUACACCUUCAGAUCCUUUGACCCCGAGCUCAUCCGACGCAGCCCCGAGGAGGAGAUGACUGUCCAAUUUGCGCCCCGCCACUCUCGGGAGGAGGCCGCCUGACGGCAGCGCUUGGACCUCUUCCGCCGGGAAUCUAUUGCGUCCAUCCAAAUGGCACAUGGAUCCGCCGCGAGGUGUGUCUCCGCUGCCUCACCGGAGGCGAUGUGGUUCGACUAGCGUCCGAACGCGAUGGCGGAUGGGCAACUGCUUCGUUGAAGCGCAGAGGCGAAGGUGAACGCAUGGGCGUCGUCCGAUGCAAAUAUGGCGCGACGUGCCCGACGUAUGAGGCAGCGAGCGCGGGAGGCGGCGACAAUCCUCGUGGCAGCGGACGUGGGCGAGGCGGAGUCGUUGGAGCCCCGUAUGGUGCACGGCCACCCGGGGCAUCGCAACCGCGUCAUGGUGGACAUCCCCAGCUCCUCUCAAGACGUAUCCAUAAUCGAUCUCACAUCCAAACACCGUGAAGGUUCCGGACUCUGACGAGGAAGAAUAGGGCAUGGGAGACGGCGGGGCCUCGACCCCUAUGAGCAUGUCUGUGUCCCAUGUCCUACUCUACCUUGCCGGUGACCCGACCAACAUUUGGAUGGACGCAACUAGCCGCCGGACAUGGCCACGACAGAGCCGGAUAUGGAUUCGAGAAUUUGCAAAUUGGGUAUCCGACUGUGGAAAAGAUUAUUUAAGACGUGACCGGUUAUUGUCUGCGCGGACGCUUCCGCGGGCGUUUGAGAGGUUGGACUUAUUGUAUCUGGAUGUAGAUGCUCUCAUUUGACAACUAUUCCCCGCUCACCUUGGUUUGGCUGACCGUAUUUUCAUAAGACGAGAAAAAAGUGCAUGCUGUGUUUCAGUAUAGAGAAAAACAGAAAUGCAAAAGAGAAGCAUCAUAUUUUAGCCAGAAAGAAAAAAAGCCACGAACGGCCUGGCUUGGAAGCGUGCACCCGACGCUGCGUGAUUCCCCCACAAAACAAGGUGGGGUUCCAAGUUCGGAUUCCCCCCACCCAUGCCUGCGAUCGCUCUUGUAGCGCAAUCGGCGCUUCACUUUGAUCGUGUCCGGGUGCUUCUUUUGCAUCUCGCUGCCGUCUCGAGCCUUGAUCGACGUGCCCCACUUGCGCGGACAAAACUACAUAUCGUGGAAAUGCCAAGCAGAAUACCAAAGGAAUCCACAUGCUGAAGGCGAUGGUCGAGUCAGGCUAUGCUAUGCUAGCCGCGCGUCUGGUAUACGGAGCCCGUUGGUAAAGCAAUCGUCUCAUUUCGCUCGUCUUAUUUUCUGGCAGAAACCAUGGUGCAUGCAUGCAUAUCCCGCGCACCAAACAUCUGGGGCGUAUGUCUCGACUCUGACUGAACUAUCCAGGGUUCUCGAAACAUCUGGGGUGUUCGUCCGCAUGUGCAGGACGAAAGUGUCUGUCGACCGAGACCAACGUUCGGGCGGUGCAGGUGAGGUGGGUGAACCUGCCGUGCAUGAGUUCCUUUUUCGAGGCAAAAUUCUGUCCUGUGUGAGUAAAGCUAACGGUGAAAUGGGGAGUGAAUUGAACGAACGAACGGCCUCUGCACUGCUGGCGUGGCCAUGUGUGCGCUGCCCCGCUAUUGUUGGUAAAGGGUACAGCUUAUCUCUGGGCGUAGGGAAGAGCGCACCGACUAGUACUGUGGUAGUAUGUGAACUUUUUAAUUUGUUGUUUGUUUUGAGGGUUUGCAACGGGACUUGGUGGAGUGAGCCAACCACUUCUUUGACUCGAUUGAAAGUGCUGCGUAGUACUCUCGUCUGUUGGCGGAGAUUGGCAGGUAGGCCUGCUGUGAUAGAACUGGCCUGCCAAUAUGUGGACAUCCACUUUUCGAAGGAUCAGCUCAAAACGUGUCCAUGUGUCCGUGUCACGACUCUCGACAACGACAAGGCAUCGACGACGUGGGCCUGCCAAGAUCAGUUCUUGACACGGACAGUAAUAAAACACGGUUUACGAUCACACGCACAUUUUCUCUCAUGACGGGUGGAAGUAAAAGGAUAAUUCCUUUUCUUUUUUUGUGCGGUAGGAUUCUUGUUUCGAUGAACUGUUUUUAGCGGGGUUCCGAUGAACUGGUCCUUUGACCGACACACACACCCACACAAAAAAUGGUGCUUUGUUUUAGGCAUGGUCCUUUUGGCAGUAGUUGGGCCGUCACUAGGUUUGUGGAAGUCCAAAUUUAUAACAGGCCCGGUUUGGUCCAGCAGAGUCUAUGCAAGGAUCACGCCGACAGGGAAUUGCUGAAACUCGCAUGGAGGAUUUACUUCGAGGGCAUGCUGGAGGAGAACGCAGAAUGCCGCACUCGUCGGAGCCGCCGGUGGCAUUUGUCAAUUGGGCGAAGCAGGAGGGGAGGUCAGAGGACCCGCGGCGAGAGGCGAGGUGGAACUGCAUUGAAGGACUGAUGCCUACAAGUGUCCCGCCAGAGCCAGAGCCGAUGGAUCCGCUGUCGCCGGCACUGACAACGGAUUGAGCAGGGAAUUGGAGAGUGGGAGUGGGCAUGUGUUGCUCGCGGAGGAGGACAUCAACUAUCUGUCCGUCAACAUUCGGAAACACGAUCCACCGGACAAGUCUCGCCUGAUGCCAACUUUCUCUGCAUAUCAUCGUCACCACCCCUGUGAUCAUGGGGCUGGGCUGCAUAGUCAAGGUUAUGGAAAUUCCUCUGCCAUUGGCGAACAAGCUAGGCUGCAACCUGUUGAAGGCCUUGUGAGACAGACGGAGACUUCUUCUGCUAUACCUGUCACUGGAAUUUCUGUUGCUCAUUCGAGUGAACAGACUGAGGUUUCUGUUGCUCAUUCGGGUGAACAGACCGAGGUUUCUGUUGCUCAUUCGAGUGAAGAGACUGCAGCUUGUCUUCGACAGGAACCUGAUGUUGAGUGGCUUGAGGUCAGAGAUGCUGGUGGUGUGAGUUCUGCCGAAGAAGUUCUCUGAAGAAAACUGAACCCAUCAACAUCUGGAAACACGAUCCACCGGACAAGUCUCGCCUCAUGCCAACUUUCUCUGCACAUCACCGUCACCACUUCUGUGAUCAUGGGGCUGAGCUGCAUAGUCAAGGUUAUGGAAAUUCCUCUGCCAUUGGCGGACAAGCUAGGCUGCAACUUGUUAAAGCCCGUGUGAGACGGACAAAGACUUCUUCUGCUAUAUCUGUCACUGGAAUUUGUAUUGCUCAUUCAAGUGAAGAGACUGAGGUUUGUGUUGCUCAUCCGAGUGAAGAUACCGCGGUUUGUCUUCAACAAGAACAUGAUGUUGAGUGGCUUGAGGUCAGAGAUGCUAGUAGUGUGAGUGCUUCGGACAACUUCUCCAAAAAUCCAGCCGAAAUAGCACGAGCAUCAUCCCAUGGCUGGUGAGGACACUGUUCGAGGACUAGUCAUGAACGGGAACAAAGUGGCUGUGUCUACUACGCAACUUUAUUCUUGUAGACACGUGUUGGGCUCCAAGCGCAGAGUUUUGUAAGACAGUAGCAAUUUUCCCUUAAGUAGAUGACCUAAGAUUUAUCAAUCCGUGAGAGGUGUAGGAUGAAGAUGGUCUCUCUCAAACGACCCUGCAACCAAAUAUAAGAAAUUUCUUGUGUCCCCAACACACCCAAUACAAUGGCAAAUUGUAUAGGAACACUAGUUCGGCGAAGAGAUGGUGAAAAGUGUAAUAUGGAUGGUAGAAAUAUAUUUUUAUAAUCUGAAUAAAUAAAAACAGCAAGGUAGCAAAUAGUAAACGAGCACAAAAACGGUAUUGCAAUGCUUAAAAACAAGGCCUAGGGUCCGUACUUUCACUAGUGCAACCUCUCAACAAUGCUAACAUAGUUGGAUCAUAUGAUUAUCCCUCAAAGUGCAAUGAAGAAUCACUCCCGAGUUCCUAUUAGCGGAGAACAAAAGAUAGAAAUUGUUUGUAGGGUACGAAACCACCUCAAAGCUAUUCUUUCCGUUCGAUCUAUUCAAGAGUUUGUACUAAAAUAACACAAAGCUAUUAUUUUCGUUCGAUCUAUCCUAGAGUUCGUACUAAAAUAACACCAAAGCAAAUUCAUAUUCAUAAUACUCAAUCCACACAAAGAACUACAGAGAGACCCCACCUAUCGAAGAAAAGAUAAUAAAAACGUGCAUCAACCCCUAUGCAUAGAUUACCCCAAUGUCACCUCGGGAAUCCGCAAGUUGAGUGCCAUAACAUAUAUCAAGUGAAUCAAUACGAUACCUCAUUGUCACCUCAAGUAUUCAUACCGCAAGACAUACAUCAUGUGUUCUCAAAUCUGAACAUUCAAUCCGACAAGACAAAACUUCAAAAGCUAAAGAUUCAGUUCAUCACAACAAGAGUAUGGAGGAGAGAAACAUCAUAUGAUCCAUCUAUAUUAACAAAGCCCAUGAUUAAACACAUAGCUACUGGUACAAACCCUCAGCCCCGAGGGUGGACUACUCCCUCAUUGUGGUGGCCGCCGAGAUGAUGAAGAUGGCCACCGGAGAUGAUUCCCCCCUCCGGUAGGGUGCCAGAACGGGCUCCCGAUUGGUUUUCGGUGGCUACAGAGCCUUGCGGCGGCGGAACUUCUGAUCUAGGUUAACCCCGAGGGUUUCUGGAAUUUUUGGGAAUUUAUAAGGUAAAGAGGGAGUGUGGGAGGCCACCGAGGUGGGCACAACCCACCCCCAGGCGCGCCCUGGUGGGUUGUGCCCCCCUCGGGGCACCCCCCAGGUGCUUCUCUGGCCCACUGUUGGUCUUCUGAUCCAUAAAAAAUCCACAAAAAGUUUCGCGGUGUUUGGACUCCGUUUGAUAUUGAUUUCCUACGAUGUGAAAAACAAGCAAAAAACAACAACUGGCACUGGGCACUGGGUCAAUAGGUUAGUCCCAAAAAAAUGAUAUAAAGUUGCUAUAAAAUGAUUGUAAAACAUACAAGAAUGAUAAAAUAACAGCAUGAAUACUUCAUAAAUUAUAGAUACGUUGGAGACGUAUCAGCAUCCCCAAGCUUAAUUCCUACUCAUCCUCGAAUAGGUAAAUGAUAAAAGAAAUAAUUUAUGAAGUGUGAAUGCUAGCAAAGUGCAUAAGUUUGAUCAAUGAUAAUUUCAAUCACUUUUCCUAGCAUCAUAACAACAAUUCUUUCUUAUAAAGUUUCUCAUGUUUAAAGUAGCAACCAAUUCACAUGUUAAAGUUGAAACAAUGAAUUCUCUUGAAACCCAACAACCUAUGUUCUCAGUCACCAAACAAUUGCAAUUCAACUUAUUCAACAGAGCUUAAGUAAGAGCUCCAUAUACUCAACCAUCAUAUAGUCUUCUAUGAUUGCUAACACUCACUGCGUACACAUGAGCAAAACGUUUCAACCGCACACAUAGAAAGAUAGGGGCUUAUUGUUUUGCCUCCCAACGUAUUCACCUCAAGGGUGAUGUCAACAAUAAUAAAUCAUGCUACCCAUAUCCAACUGGAUAUAUGCGCCUAGAUCUUUCCUCACCACAUGAUGCUUGCCAAAAGGGAAAAAUAAAAAGGAAUAGAGAGAAAAAACUUUGACUCUUUGCAUAAAAGUAAAUACUGAAAAGUAAAAGAUAGGCCCUUCGCAGAGGGAAGCAGAGGUUGCCAUGCGCUUAUUUGUUUGUAUGCUCAACCCCUUAGUGCAAAAGAACGUCACGUUAUAGUGCGCCUUAUGAUAGCAACCUUUAUUAUGCAGUCUGUCGCUUUUAUUCUUUGCCACCACAAGUUCGUACAACGCUCAAUUUUCUCUUACACUAAAUGAUCUAACACUUUUAGAAGCAAUUUUUAUUGCCUUAUUGCACCGAUGACAACUUACUUGAAGGACAUUAUUCAAUCCUUAGGUAGGUAUGGUGGACUCUUGAAAAUAAGAUUUGGGUUUAAGGGUUUUUGGAUGCACAAGUAGUAUCUCUACUUGGUGCGGAAUUUUUGGCUAGCAAAGAUGGGGGCAAGCAUCACAUGUUGAAGGAUCUAUGGCAAUAUAACUUCUAUGUGAAUAUGAACAAACAUAAACCAUUACGUUAUCUUCCUUGUCCAACGUCAACAAUUUUGGCAUAUAAUAUUUUGAUGGGGGCUCACAAUCACAAAAGAUUUCUAAGAUAGUGUAUUUGCAUAUGAAAGUUCUCUUCCUUAUACUAAUUAUUCGUGAAUUGCUUGUAUGACCAAUAUUGUGAUUGUCAAGCCUCAAAAGAUUUCACUUUCUAAACCCAAUGUGAAGCUACCACUAGGCAUGAUAUGAUUUCAACUUCAUGACAUUUAAUUUAUUCAACAAUUUACUCAUAGGAUAUAAGUGAAGCACAAGAGUAAAUGACAAGCUACUCCAAAAAGAUAUAAAUGAAGAUCAUGAGCAUAAUAUUUCUUUCUCCCAAAUUAAUUUAAGUGAAGCAAGAGAGAAUUUAUUUAAAAAUAUUAAAGCACACCGUGCUCAAAAAGAUAUAAGUGAAGCACUAGAGCAAUUCCAUAGAAAAGAGCUUCGUUAACGGGACGUGAAUGCCGCUUACUUAGCCUCCCUGGCAACUAUUUGAGGACUCUAUUUUAUUCAAAAACUUUCAGACCUAAGCAUUUUAUUAAAACAACAAGCAAAACAAAAUAAAAUUACAUCCAAGAAUAGCACGCAUCAUGUGAAGAAGCAAAAACUUAGGCUCAACCGAUACUAACCGAUAAUUGUUGAAGAAGAAAGGUGGGAUGCAUACCGGGGCAUCCCCAAGCUCAGAUGCUUGAGACUUCUUGAAUGUUAUCUUGGGAUGCCUUGGGCAUCCCCAAGCUUGAGCUUUUGUGUCUCCUUAAUUCCUUUAAUACCACGAUUUUCCUAAAUCUCAAAAGCUUCAUCCACACAAAACUCAACAAGAACUCGUGAGAUAAGUUAGUAUGAACCAAUGCAAAAACCUUAUCAUUCUCUACUGUAGCAAAUCACAAAUUAUUAUUCAACGUUCCAUACUAAAUGCCUCUGAUAUUUAAUACUCCUAUCCUCAAAUAGAAUCAUUAAGCAAGCAAACAUAUGCAAGCAAUGCAAACAUAACAGCAAUCUGCCAAACCAGUACAGUCUGUAAAGAAUGCAAGAGUAUCAAUACUUAUUCAACUCCAAACAUUAUGAAAUUCUACCACACUGUAAAAAAAUUAUCAGAGCUUAUUAUGCAAAAAAAUUGAACAUUCUAUCACAUUCUAACUUUUCUAGGGAAUUUUUGCAACAACGGCAAACUUUCUGUUUUCAAAAAGCAACAUGUAUACUUGCAAAAAUAAGCAUAGUAAAGGCUAUCAAUGCCACUUUUAUUGAAAUAAAAGAUGCAAAACAUUAUUCUAAAUAACAGCAAGAAAAUUCUAACAAAAUAAAUUGACGCUCCAAGUAAAACUUAUAUCAUGUGACGAAUGAAAACAUAGCUCCAAGUGAGGUUACCGAUAAUGUUGGAGACGAAAGAGGGGAUGCCUUCCGGGGGCAUCCCCAAGCUUAGUUGCUUGGAUCUUCCUUGAAUAUUACCUUGGGGUGCCUUGGGCAUCCCCAAGCUUAGGGUCUUGUUACUCCUUAUUCUCCUCAUAUCGACAUCUCACCCAAAACUUGAAAACUUCAAUCACACAAAACUUAACAAAACUUCGUGAGAUAGGUUAGUAUGAUAAAGAGCAAGCCAGUUCACUUUGGUACUGUCAAAGACAAGAUUCAUAAUUUUUUCCACACAAUUCCUACUGUAGCAUAUCGUUUCCACAAUUUAUAUUGAGCAAUAUAAUCCGUAGAAACUAGAAAACAAACAAACUAUGCAUUGAAAACAGAAUCUGCCAAAAAAGAACAGUAUGUAAUGAUAUGGAUAGCUACCAUACUUCUGCUACUCCAAAAAUUAUGAAAAAUUUAUGACCACGUCAGAAAUUUGUAUAUUAAACUUCUGCAAAAAGAAUCAACUCAAAAUCACUCUUAUGUUAAAAAUGAGAAUUAUUUUCAUGAGCGCAAAAGUUUCUGUUUUUCAGCAAGAUCAAAUCAACUAUCACCCAACAUGAUCCCAAAGGCUUUACUUGGCACUUUACUGAAACAAAAGCAAUAAAACAUGAUCAAUACAAUAGCAUAAUCAUGUGAACACACAAAAACAGUAAGUAAAAGUGUUGGGUUGUCUCCCAACAAGCGCUUUUAUUUAAUGCCUUUUAGCUAGGCAUGAUGACUUCAAUGAUGCUCACAUAAAAGAUAAGAAUUGAAACACAGAGAGAGCAUCAUGAAGCAUAUGACUAGCACAUUUAAGUCUAACCCACUUCCAAUGCAUAGGUAUUUUGUGAGCAAACAACUUAUGGGAACAAGAAUCAACUAGCAUAGGAAGGCAAAACAUGCAUAACUUCAAAACUUUCAACAUAAAGAGAGGAAACUUGAUAUUAUUGCAAUUCCUACAAGCAUAUGUUCCUCCCUCGUAAUAAUUUUCAGUAGCAUCAUGAAGAAAUUCAACAAUAUAACCAUCACAUAACGCAUUAUUUUCAUGAUCCACAAGCAUAGAAAUUUUGUUACUCUCCACAUAAGUAAAUUUCUUCAAAUCAAAAGUAGUGGGAGCAAACUCAACAAAAUAACUAUCAUGAGAGUGAAAAUUAAAAUCAUGAUGACAAGUUUCAUGGUUAUCAUCAUUCAAUAUAGCAUACAUGUCAUCACCAUAAUCAUCAUAUAUAGGAACUUUGUUGUCAUAAUCAAUUGCAACCUCCUCCAAAAUAGUGGAUUCAUCAUUAAAUAAAGUCACGACCUCUCCAAAUCCACUUUCAUCAAUAUAAUCAUCAUAAAUAGGAGGCAUGUAAUCAUCAUAAUAAAUUUUCUCAUCAAAACUUGGGGGACUAAAAAUAUCAUAUUCAUCAAAUAUAGCAUCCCCAAGCUUAUGGCUUUGCAUAUCAUUAGCAUCAUGGAUAUUCAAAGUAUUCAUACUAACAACAUUGCAAUUAUGCUCAUCAUUCAAAUAUUUUGUGCCAAAAAUUUUAUUGACUUCUUCUUCUAACAAUUGAGCACAAUUUUCCGAACCAUCAUUUUCAAGAAAGAUAUUAUAAAGAUGAUCAAUAAUAUGAUGCAAUCUCAAUUCCAUUUUUUAUUUAGUUUUCUUUUAUAAACCAAACUAGUGAUAAAACAAGAAACUAAAAGAUUCAAUUGCAAGAUCUAAAGAUAUACCUUCAAGCACUCACCUCCCCGGCAACGACGCCAGAAAAGAGCUUGAUGUCUACUACGCAACUUUAUUCUUGUAGACACGUGUUGGGCCUCCAAGCGCAGAGUUUUGUAGAACAAUAGCAAUUUUCCCUCAAGCGGAUGACCUAAGGUUUAUCAAUCCGUGAGAGGUGUAGGAUGAAGAUGGUCUCUCUCAAACGACCCUGCAACCAAAUACAAGAAAUCUCUUGUGUCCCCAACACACCCAAUACAAUGGUAAAUUGUAUAGGUGCACUAGUUCGGCGAAGAGAUGGUGAUAAAAGUGUAAUAUGGAUGGUAGAAAUAUAUUUUUAUAAUCUGAAUAAAUAAAACCAGCAAGGUAGCAAAUAGUAAACGGGCACAAAAACGGUAUUGCAAUGCUUAAAAACAAGGCCUAGGGUCCGUACUUUCACUAGUGCAACCUCUCAACAAUGCUAACAUAGUUGGAUCAUAUGAUUAUCCCUCAAAGUGCAAUAAAGAAUCACUCCCGAGUUCCUAUUAGCGGAGAAAAAAAGAUAGAAAUUGUUUGUAGGGUACGAAACCACCUCAAAGCUAUUCUUUCCGUUCGAUCUAUUCAAGAGUUCGUACUAAAAUAACACAAAGCUACUCUUUCCGUUUGAUCUAUCCUACAGUUUGUACUAAAAUAACACCAAAGCAAAUUCAUAUUCAUAAUACUCAAUCCACACAAAGAACUACAGAGAGACCCCAAUGUUUCUAUCAGAGAAAAGAUAAUAAAAACGUGCAUCAACCCCCAUGUAUAGAUUACCCCAACGUCACCUCGGGAAUCUGCAAGUUGAGUGCCAUAUAUCAAGUGAAUCAAUACGAUACCUCAUUGUCACCUCAACGAAUAUGCAAGCAUACAUUUCAUGCUUGUUUGAGUAAUAGCAAGGAGAUUCCGGCUUGCCCCUGUCUCUAAAAAGUGAAGGUCAGCUCCACGUGGGUAUUCCAUCAAGUAUUCAUACCGCAAGACAUACAUCAUGUGUUCUCAUAUCUGAACAUUCAAUCCGACAAGACAAAACUUCAAAGGGUAAAGAUUCAAUUCAUCACAACAAGAGUAUAGAGGGGAGAAACAUCAUAUGAUCCAUCUAUAUUAACAAAGCCCAUGAUAUAGAUCACGAGAGAGAGAGAUUAAACACAUAGCUACAGGUACAAACCCUCAGCCCCGAGGGUGGACUACUCCCUCCUCAUCGUGGUGGCCUCCGGGAUGAUGAAGAUGGCCACCAGAGAUGAUUCCCCCCUCCGGCAGGGUGCCGGAACGGGCUCCCGAUUAGUUUUUGGUGGCUACAGAGUCUUGCGGCAGCGGAACUUCUGAUUUAGGUUAACCCGGAGGGUUACUGGAAUUUUUGGGAAUUUAUAGGGUAAAGAGGGGGUGCGGGAGGCCAGCGAGGUGGGCACAACCCACCUGGGCGCGCCCAGGCGCGCCCUGGUGGGUUGUGCCCCCCUCGGGGCACCCCCAGGUGCUUCUCUGGCCCACUGUUGGUCUUCUGGUCCAUACAAAAUCCACAAAAAGUUUCACGGUGUUUGAUAUUGAUUUCCCGCGAUGUAAAAAACAAGCAAAAAACAACAACUGGCACUGGGUCAAUAGGUUAGUCCCAUAAAAAUGAUAUAAAGUUUCUAUAAAAUGAUUGUAAAACAUCCAAGAAUGAUAAAAUAACAGCAUGAAUACUUCAUAAAUUAUAGAUACGUUGGAGACGUAUUAGUGGCUCGCUCUGGCAGCGGGGAUGUGGAUCUGAGCUGCUCACCGAUACUAGAUGUAAAUGCUCCUACCCUGUCCUCCAUGACUACAACCAGUGACCAGUUGGCUUGGUGUGCUGCCUGCUAUCGGUGAUUCUGCUAUGCUAAUAUUGCUGCAAUCAGGCGGGUUCAGUUUUCUUCAAAGAACUCCUCGCGCCAACCUUUCUGGGGACGUGCAUUGCUCAAGCUGUCUGGGGAUGUGCAUUGCUGCCAGGGUGACUCGGUAGCUGAUUUCCAUCUUCGGCUUUGGGGCUCCAUAAUUUUGGCCUAGGAAGGAAACCCUAGAAGUCACACACCCCUCGCCUAGCAAAAAUUCCCCACCGCUGCCACCCCGCAGCGAGUUUCGACGAUGGCGGACGGAGGGCGUGGUCGCGGACGAGGUAAAGGAAAGGGAGGUAGAGGAGACAAUCAUGCCAAUUGACUGCAAGAUCAGUCUAUGAUGCAACCUUUGAUGGGCCCUCCCCCGCAACAAUUCUUGGCUAUGGAUUUCUGGGGCCGCCGCUAGAAUGGUGCUUCCUGGGGCAAUUCUCACACCCAUACCCACAACAAUAGUGGGGAGAGCCGCAGCAGCAGUGGUUCGGACUGUCGCCCCCUCCUCAAGGGCCACCCCAGGGACUAGGGGGGUCGAGCGCCACCGUUGAUCACAGUAACACCUCGGAUGGGGCGCAAGGGAUUGCCAGAGAAUUAGAUCAAGACUGCUCAAAGGAAGAAACAAGAGCAAGUAUCCAAAUCUUCCUCAUCUACCAUGCCUGGUUUGAUGUCAUAUGCUCUGAUGACCAGCUACAAUUGUGGUGAUCCUGGACACCAUAAAGAUAAGUGUGAGAAACCCAAAAGAUGUUUUAUCUGCAAAAUGGUCACACAUGUGGUGUAUGACUGCCCUGUUAGGAAGAAAGCUCACACCUCUUCUCGUUAUGUGGGUAGUGCAGCACCAGGACUGAGUUUCUAUCACCUAGAUGCUCCUGCUGUUAACUCUCAACACCAUGAAGGUCUAAAGAAUGUUAGUAUAGUGUUGAUUGAAACUGGUGAAGUGACCAAACUAGCUAAGGAGUUUGCUGAGAUCUAUAAGACAAACUGGCCAUGGCGCAUCAAUGCCCUUGGUGAAUGGGCCUUCCUGGUCAAGUUUCCUCCUGAGAUUGAUGUUGCACAUGUGGAUGGAUAUCCUUGCUUUUAGUACUGCAGGAAUGCAUAAAGUGGCUGGCGCAAAAAGGCCAGCAGUGGCGGGCCAGGUUCCCAGGCCCGCCCACCACCGACCUCCCGUCACUGCUAUAAUCGCAACAGUGGCGGGCGCCCGCCUGCCACUGAUCAUGUACUAGUUUUGGUGGGUGGUAGCGCGCGCCCGCCGCUAUUAUGAUUCUUACCUAUGGCGGGCGUCGUGUCUUGCCCGCCACAGUUGUUUUAUGCUAGCGAAAAAAAGCUACCGUGGUAGCGUUUUUAUGUGUCGUUGCAAUUUUUCCAGUUUAGCAAUAAUAUGAGUACCCUAAAGACAUAAAUAGCACACUUCAAGUAACUCUAAUAUUUAGUACAAGUACAAUACAAUAAGUGCAUACAACAUAUAUAUGUUCAAUAAAGUUCUAACUAGUAUCAUGAAACAAUACAUAUAUAUACGACACUUUUUUUUGAAAAGAAUGAUCACCCCCGGCCUCUGCAUCAAUCGAUGCAUGCAGCCAUAUUAUUAAAACAAAACGUAACAAAGUCAUGAGGUUCAAAGAAGCUCAUAAAAUGAGCAGUAGUCGAGAUAAAAUCUGAAAACGCCACAACUGUAGAUAAAGAACUGAAAAGUGCCACUUCCGGCGAUAAAACAACAAGCUACGAUGCCUACACACCUAGCCUAUUAUUAGAUCGCUGCCCAAAUCGGCUGAAGAUAGCCCGAGCUACCGUCUCUCAACGGUUGCACCCAAUAACCAUAAGCUCCCUGAAGUCCACAUACGUGAGUAAGGACUACAUACGGAUCCAAGCUGUAGCUCUGUAGAUAACCUACAAAAAAUUGGUGAAUUGUGUCAACCUGCAAAAAAUUGGUGAAUUGUGUCCCAUUAAAAAUCAUGUCAUUUCUAGUGUUACAUAUAGCCCAGAGUAGUGCACAUACUCCUAUCCGAAUAUGUUUAGCUAAGUGUACGUCCACUCCAUUAAUCCACGUCCCAAAUAACGUGUUUAUGCUCCUUGGGUGUUGAAUGUUAAAAGUUAUAUAAAUUGAUCGCCAUAAUAAUUGUGCUAGAGGGCAUUCAAGAAAGAGGUGUUUAACUGUUUCAUUUUGUCCACAAAAACAGCACCUAGAAUUACCAACCCAAUUCCUUUUUGCCAAGUUAUCUUUGGUUAGAAUGACUUCUUUAUGUACAACCACAUAAAGAUUUUAAUACGAAGCGGAACUUUAAUCUUCCAAAUGCGCAACGACCUCGACAAUGGCCCGGAGUCAAUUAGGUCCGAAUACAUGGUUUUCCCUGAGAAUAUUCCAUUCGUAGUUAACUUCCAGUGAAUUAUAUCGGGCUAAUCCGAUAGGUGAACCUCCAUCAACCUACGAACUAGGUGCAACCAAGCAUUACAACGUUCCCCUACUAGCGAUCUCCUAAAUUGGAUAUUAAGCGGUAUCGAGUGUAAUACUAUAGCGACGUAAUCCUCCUUACAUUGCACAAUAUUAUAUGAGGGAUACUGCAAAGCCAAAGGCAUCACCCCUAGCCAUGUAUCCUCCCAAAAUCGAGUAGUAUUACCAUUACCAACCAGGAACUUCACUCUUGGAAGAAAAUUGCUUUCGUCCUCAUUAAUCCCUUCCAAAUGGGUGAGUCCGUUGGCCUAGCGAUGACUUGGGCCAAAGUCUUAGAGUGUAAGUAUUUAUUCCACAAGAUUUGUACCCCAUACCCCCGUUCUCAGUAGAUAUUCUGUAUAGCCACUUGCUAAGCAGACAUCUAUUCUUGACCUCUAAAUUCUCGAUCCCUAACCCACCUUGGUCUUUUGGUCUGCAAAUAAUAUCCCAUCUAGCCAGUCUGUACUUCUUCUUGGCCUCAUCACUUUGCCAAAAGAAUCGGGAUCUAUAAAAGUCAAGUCUUUUUCGUACCCCUACCGGUACCUCAAAGAAGGAUAGGAGGAACAUCGGCGAACUCGUCAAAACCGAAUUUAUCAAAACCAACCGACCUCCAUUUGACAUGAGCUUGCCCUUCCAGCAGCUCAGUUUCUUUUCAAAACGAUCCUCUAUACAUUUCCAUUCCUUGUACGUUAAACAUCUAUGAUGAAUUGGUAUCCCUAGAUAACUAAAAGGUAAGGAUCCCAUUUCACAAGGGAACAAAUUUCUGUAAUCAUGUUGUUCCUCUUUGGCUCUCCCAAAGCAGAACAAUUUGCUUUUAUUGGAGUUAAUUUUGAGCCCAGACAAUUGCUCAAAAAGACACAAUACAAGCUUCAUAUUCCUAGCUUUUGCAAGAGCAUGUUCCAUCAAUAUAAUAGUAUCAUCCGCAUAUUGUAGGACGGAGAGUCCCCCCCCCCUCUACAAGGUGAGGGAUGAGUCCUCCUACUUGGCCACUCUCCUUGGCCCGACCAAUUAGUACUGCCAACAUAUCUGCUACAAUGUUAAACAACACAGGAGACAUGGAAACUCCCUGUCGUAACCCCUUAAGUGUCUGGAAAAAAUGUCCUGUAUCAUCAUUGACUUUUAUUCCGACACUACAUUUUUGUAUGAAUGAAUCCACCUGAGAUCUCCAAGAAUCAUUGAACCCCUUCAUUCGUAAGGCUUGCUGCAGAAAGGGCCAUUUGACCUUAUCAUACGCUUUUUCAAAAUCCACUUUGAAGAUAACGCCAUCUAAUUUCUUCUUAUGGAUUUCAUGAAGCGUUUCAUGUAGGACUACAACCCCUUCAAGGAUGUGUCGUCCUGGCAUGAAAGCAGUUUGUGUUGGUUGCACAACCGAAUGGGCUAUCUGUGUCAACCUGUUCGUGCCAACCUUUGUAAAAAUCUUAAAGCUUACAUUGAGAAGACAGAUCGGUCUGAAUUGCUCAAUGCAAAUAGCCUCAACCCUCUUUGGCAACAACAUUAUUGUUCCAAAGUUGAGGUGAAAGAGGUUUAGGUGGCCAUCGAACAAAACAUGGAACAUAGGCAUCGGAUCUCCCUUAAUGAUAUGCCAGCAUUUCUGGUAGAAUUCCGCCGGGAACCCAUCCGGCCCAGGAGCUUUAUUAUGUUUCAUUUACGUUAUUGCAUCAAACACCUCUUUCUUUGUGAACGGAGCAGACAACAACUCAUUCCGUUCUAAGUUAAGCUGAGGUAUGUCCUCGGUCGCACUCUCAUCUAGAGAUACAAAGCUUUGUUCUGGUGCUCCGAAAAGUUUCUUAUAAUAUUUAGAGAUGUACAAUUUGAGGUUCUCGUGUCCUACAAUUGUACCCUCAUAUUGUUCGAGCUGUAUUAUCUUCUUCUUUCUAUGUUUCCCAUUAGCUAUCAUACGAAAGAACUGUGUAUUAUCAUCUCCUUGGAUGAUCUUAGAAACAUUUGCUCUAAGCGCCCAUUUCAUCUCCUCCUCUCUCAUAAGGGCUUGUAAUUUUUUCUCGGCCUGAUUCUUAAUAUCUCUCUCUGACAUAUUAAGAAGGGUGGAUUCCGCUUUCACGUCUAGUUCAUUAAUAAUUUGUGUUAGUUUCUCCUUUUCAACUUUAUAAAUACCACUUUGGUUUUGGCCAUCCCCUCAAGAAUUGGCGCAACUGUCUAAUUUUGUUCUGCCAUAAUUCCACAUGAGAAGUCCCACCAGACUCCCUGGCCCAUUCCGUCGCAAUAAGAUUUAGGAACCCCUCCCUCUCGAACCAUCCUAGUUCGAAAGAGAACGUAUUUCUGUUGCCCACAUGGGUCGAUUCCCCGGAAUCGACCAGCAAUGGGGCAUGGUCUGAAAUGGCCCUUUGUAGAGCACCGACCGUUACCAGUGGAAAUUUCUGUUCCCACUCAACACUAGUGAGGACCCUGUCCAAUUUCUCAUAAGUAGGAAUUGGUAAGGAAUUAGCCCACGUGAAUUGUCUACGAGAGGUCAAUCUCUCUAAGUCGAGACUUUCAAUGAUCAUAUUGAACAUGAAUGACCACCUCCCAUCGAAGUUGUCAUUAUUUUUUCAUCUUGCCUUCUAAUGAUAUUGAAAUCUCCUCCAACCAUAAUAGGCAACCUCUCAUCCCCACAAAUUCUCACUAAAUCUAAAAGGAAGUCAGGCUUAAGUUCUGGCUGCGCCGCACCAUAUACGGCCACCAAAGCCCACCUGAAGCCAUCGAUUUUCGACCUCACUCGAAAUUUGACAGCAAAUUCACCGUGAACCACAUUUAGCACUUCUAAAGUUUCGCACUUCACCCCAAGUAGGAUCCCUCCAGAUCGCCCCCUUGGAGGUAGACAGUGCCAAUCGAAAUCAACCACCCCUGAAAUGGUGUUGAGAAACCGGGGAGUAAAAUUAUCUCUACACGUCUCUAAUAAAACCAUGAAAUCCAUUUUUUGCUCUAUCGAUGUAUCACUAAGGAAUCUUCCUUUAGCCAAGUCCGCUAGACCUCUGCUAUUCCAGAAUAUUCCUUUCAUAUUUCAUCAUGGAAUUUUUUCUUUUGUUUAACUCUCGCACUCCUACGCACCGCCGAUGUGGGAUAAACUUUCCUCUUCCAGGUUCUUUUUGGUUUAUCUUUCAUCGCCUCUAUGGGAAGAGGGUGGGUGUCAGUAGAAACAAAGGCAUAUGGUUGCAAAGGAGCCAUUUACCCCUCAGCAAUCACAUCCUCAUCCUCGCCUUCUAAGCCCUCCGUGGGGACUAAAUCCUCACAGAGACUCUGAAGCGAUGCUACUCCUAGAUCCUUAAUAUCAGUGUCAUUCAUGGGUUUUACCGCCGCUAAGUUUCGAAUUAAAUCCAGAGCUCUAUCUGUUUCUAAAUCUAACAGAUCAUUGAUGGAUUUAGCGGUUUCUUUGCCAUUAGUACCAAGAAAUAUCCCUAAGUUGCUGGCUUUAUCAAGAAUUUCAUGUUCAGAAAAGUGCAGAAUGGAACAACUUGUAUUAAUUGACAUACCUGUAUGAGCUUCGAUGUCUCAAAGCUUGGCGGGCCUCAUAGCUCGCCCCAUCUGUAUGUCAUCCGCGUCCGGCUGACCCUGGAUCCGGUGACUGAACCGUCUGUCACCGGACAUAGGAUCCGGAAUACCUCCAAAAGCGAUGACAUCCUCCGCAGCGACUCCAUGUGGGCUGUGACCGCCUGUCAUAUGCCCGAAUGAGUCCGAAGAAGUGAGAGACAUGGACCUCCCAGGCUGACCCACCACGGCACCAUUAACCGCGACGGCCGAAGCACUGAUCACCGGCGAUCUGCUAUCAUCACUGCCCGACCUGGACACCACCUGUGUCGAGCUGGUCGGACGUGGCGACAAAGAGCGAGAUGGAUGCCUAGAACCCUCCACUGUAGGUGAGGGAGAGGUCGCCGCCGGUCGUCCCUCCACUGCCACCACCACCGUAGACACAUCCGUCUCCACGGGGGUGGAUCACCAGAGAAAGUAUACAUAUUAUGAUGAGGCGUUAAGCAACUUAGGUACUACAUCGAGCAACGCUAUUUCACAGCCGAGACUUUGCACAGAUCAAGCUACAGGAUGUGUGCGAGAGACAAUGGAGAUAGAAUUCGUAUAGAGGGCAUUGGACGGGAUUGAUUUUGCUGCGACUACGAUAUAAAAAGAGGAGACACGAAACAUUUUCACUACAACUGUAGAGAUUUUGUGAUGUAUAUGUCCCCAAUACAUCCAAAUGGUGAACCAAAAGGUAUAAUUUGUAAGUACAUAUUGUUUUAUAUUAGUUAUUUUUUAGUAAUAAUUUUUGAUAACUAACAAUUGGUCAAUUUUUUUAAAUUCAUAAAGCUGACGUAUUUGAUGAAUGAGAAAGACCUAUUGCAUACAACAAUGAGUUUAAUCUAACACAAAGGUAAGUCAACAACAUGCACACUAUAUUACAGAUGUAUGAGGACUAUUCUGCGCAGGUACAUUGCUUUACAGCUGCGAACAUAUAUGAUACUCACUUGGUAAGUACUAUACAAUAUGUAAAAUGCAAUCUCAUCACUCCACAUUUUAAUAAAAUUUAUUCCUUUUUAAUGCAGGUAAUACAUAGACCAAUAGUUGGGAGCUUUGGUCUACAACAAUACAGUUCAAUUUUACUGCAAAUGAGCCGGCAAACACACCAAUCAAUAGAAGUUGAUUAUCAGAUUAAAAGAGAUGGCGUCCGAUGAAGACCAGGAAAGCAUUCCAGGGAAUAAUCUGCUGCCAGUAGCCCUGCUUCGUUUCAUCGCUCCUUCUGGAGCUAAAACCUGAUAUGUUCAGUCGUGCCUUGCUUUUGUAUUUCCUAUUUUCGUUGAACUACUCCUCUUAGUGAGCUGAUGUAUGGAUGACCAUUUUGGUUUCAUUCAAGCAAUGGAACCGGGGAGGAACCUCCCUAUUCUUCUAAAUUCUAAAAAUAGAUAUUAUUUAUGUUAAGAAAAUCAUUAUUACAGAGUUUUUUGUGUAUGGGUCAGCACAUAGAUUUCUAGAGAUGUUGAAUAGUGGUGUUUCUCAUGUUGCAUUGUCUUUUUGGAUAAAAGACAGAUUUUAUUAGCUCAGUAUGAAACAUCAAGGGAUACAAACACAAAGAAAACACACCCAGCUUCUGCCUAGUCAGGAUGCACACAGGGCCGGUCCUGAGAUUUCGGGGGUCCGGGACGAAACUAGAACCGGGUUCUUUAAUACAAACUUAAAAUAAUACUAAUCAAAUUAUUAGUAUAUUCCUAGAAGAGGUUGGACAGGGAGGAGCAACUCACCUAAGACGAGCAGCCUCGCUCGGAACCGUUUCGUAGGGUCAAGGCAAUUUUUCUCUACCCUAUAGAUUGACCACGAAAAAGCCCUAUCCCAAAAACGGUGCCCCGGCGGGUGAUACACAUUGAUCAACUAAAAUCCCUCUAACCAAUCAAGGCAUGUGGCACAUACGAGAUGAGGCCUCAGGACCGGGGCUCGAUGCACACACACCUAACACAAACGCACACAUAAAAAUUACACACCCCUAAAAAAACAUAAAAAUUACACUAGCAGCUAGCAAAGUCAUAAAAGACCAAAGCUAUGUCAAGGCGGAUAGAAAAAAAAAUAGCAGCGACAAUCCAUGCUGUGUUGGCCAAAGAAGAUGAUGCAAACGCAUGUGAUCCGGACAUGGACACAGCCACGCGGACAAAGGGUUGUAUCGUCUAGUGGCGGCAAUUUCUUGUUUUCUACGUUGAACCAGACGCUCCAUCCUAACCCUAACCCCUCCUUGAAUUGACAGCACCAGAAAAACACGGAGUGAUGCUUAGGCGUUAAGAAUUAGACCGAUAUAUGAUGAUUUAAGUAAUGCGUUGGGCGGCAUGACCUGGCAAUCUAGAAGCUUGUCAGUCUCAGCGAGUGUCAAUGCCAUCAAUUCUUUAAUAUAUAAACCUCAAUUUCUUAGCUUAGUCGUAGAUAGUAGUACUACGUACUAGGUAGCUGCUGUGAACCUGUGACCACAACUGGCAACUUGUGAGCCCCGGUACCAACAACGACACCAGAGCAAGAAAAAAGCAGAACAAUAAUGCAGGACAGUGGCUUAUGCAGGCAUAUAUUUGUUCAUUACAAACAUAAAUGUACAUUCAUACUUAUUAUUAUUUCGAAAACUGCCAGAUUCAAACGAACUAAUAAACUCUCUCAUAGAAAGACGGGAGAAGACACAUUCGCAUGGAUCAACGUAGCGAUCCACACCAAACUCAGAAGAUGGCUAGCUAGACCGCCCUGCAGCUGAUCAACAUCUUGAAUUUUUUCUCAGACUAAGAAGCGAUCCGGUCACGAUCAAGUAGGCACAUUCACAUUGAAAUCGUCGCUGCAAUUCGGGUUUAUUCUCUCGACUUGAACGCGGACAACGGACACGGCAUGAAGCGGGUGGCAGCAAGGUACAAUCUCUGCAUGAGAAAGGCAAGCCAUGGUGGUCAUUGAACAGAUCAAGUGUCAUUUUCUGAAGGAUAUAGAGAGAGUAGUAUAUAUUGCUUACACCAGGGGACGAUCUUCCAGCGCUGAUUGUCGCCCUUGCACCACUCCCAGAGCACGACCUCGGUGCCGUCGUGGACGCCGCCGUGGUCCUUGUCGCCGUGCAGCGCGUCGAAGUUGAGGUAGAUGUUGUUCACCAUGCGGACGCAGCGGAAGCCCUUGCCCACGUCCCUGCUCUCCGUCCAUAGCACCGACUCGUCCAUGUACUCCGGGUUGUAACCCACAAGCUUCACCUGCAGUCCGCUCACAUGUCAAGCACGGUUCACCAGCGUGUUGCAAACGUCUCAAAACGUACGGGAGCAGGUGUAGAACAAUUUCAAUUCGUGUGACGCGAACAUGGAAAUCGUAAACGUAGAUAGGCACGUGCCAACCCCUGCAUGGACCUACUCGCUUGAAUUUAAGGAGCACAGACAGAG